GGUUAAGUUAACAAGGGCGCAUGGUGAAUGCCUUGGCACUAGGAGCCGAUGAAGGACGGGACUAACACCGAUAUGCUUCGGGGAGCUGUACGUAAGCUAUGAUCCGGAGAUUUCCGAAUGGGGCAACCCAGCAGUUUUAAUCAACUGUUACCACUAGAUGAAUUCAUAGUCUAGUUGGAGGUAAACGCUGUGAACUGAAACAUCUCAUUAGCAGCAGGAAUAUAAAGAAAUUUCGAUUCCCUAAGUAGCGGCGAGCGAACGGGGAACAGCCCAAACCAAAGUGCUUGCACUUUGGGGUUGUAGGACUGAACAUUUGAGUUACCAAAGAACUUGAUAGUCGAAGGAUUUGGGAAAAUCCGCCAUAGAUGGUGAUAGCCCAGUAGAUUAAAUCAAAUUCUCUCAGUUCAGGAUCCUGAGUACGGCGGAACACGUGAAAUUCCGUCGGAAUCCGGGAGGACCAUCUCCCAAGGCUAAAUACUACCUAGUGACCGAUAGUGAACCAGUACCGUGAGGGAAAGGUGAAAAGCACCCCGGGAGGGGAGUGAAAUAGUUCCUGAAACCAUGUGCCUACAAUAAGUCAGAGCGCGUUAAUGCGUGAUGGCGUGCCUUUUGUAGAAUGAACCGGCGAGUUAUGAUCCCGUGCAAGGUUAAGACUAAAAAGUCGGAGCCGUAGCGAAAGCGAGUCUGAAAUGGGCGUUUUGAGUACGAGGUUAUAGACCCGAAACCAGGUGACCUAUCCAUGUCCAGGUUGAAGGUGCGGUAAAACGCACUGGAGGACCGAACCC
rnacentral:rRNA from 1 species